GUGAAUCAUCAAAUUUUUGAACGCAAAUUGCACUCUCUUCGGAGAGUAUGCCUGUUUGAGGGUCAGCCUAAAAAAAAUCGACAUAGUUGCUGUUUCGCAGUGACAUUCGUCGGAAAUUGGGUCAUCUUAGACCUUUGGGUUUUAAGCGGCUUAAAAUUUUCCUUACGAUUCUACGAACGUUUCUAAGAUUUAAUUCUUACGUUUAAGGUAUCGAUUUUUAUUAGACGUGGCCGUUGCAUCGGAUGGCGUCAAUAAAUUAUUAGUUAAUUGAGCU
rnacentral:misc_RNA from 1 species